UUAAGCGACUAAGCGUACACGGUGGAUGCCCUGGCAGUCAGAGGCGAUGAAGGACGUGCUAAUCUGCGAUAAGCGUCGGUAAGGUGAUAUGAACCGUUAUAACCGGCGAUUUCCGAAUGGGGAAACCCAGUGUGUUUCGACACACUAUCAUUAACUGAAUCCAUAGGUUAAUGAGGCGAACCGGGGGAACUGAAACAUCUAAGUACCCCGAGGAAAAGAAAUCAACCGAGAUUCCCCCAGUAGCGGCGAGCGAACGGGGAGCAGCCCAGAGCCUGAAUCAGUGUGUGUGUUAGUGGAAGCGUCUGGAAAGGCGCGCGAUACAGGGUGACAGCCCCGUACACAAAAAUGCACAUGCUGUGAGCUCGAUGAGUAGGGCGGGACACGUGGUAUCCUGUCUGAAUAUGGGGGGACCAUCCUCCAAGGCUAAAUACUCCUGACUGACCGAUAGUGAACCAGUACCGUGAGGGAAAGGCGAAAAGAACCCCGGCGAGGGGAGUGAAAAAGAACCUGAAACCGUGUACGUACAAGCAGUGGGAGCCUCUUUUAUGGGGUGACUGCGUACCUUUUGUAUAAUGGGUCAGCGACUUAUAUUCUGUAGCAAGGUUAACCGAAUAGGGGAGCCGAAGGGAAACCGAGUCUUAACUGGGCGUUAAGUUGCAGGGUAUAGACCCGAAACCCGGUGAUCUAGCCAUGGGCAGGUUGAAGGUUGGGUAACACUAACUGGAGGACCGAACCGACUAAUGUUGAAAAAUUAGCGGAUGACUUGUGGCUGGGGGUGAAAGGCCAAUCAAACCGGGAGAUAGCUGGUUCUCCCCGAAAGCUAUUUAGGUAGCGCCUCGUGAAUUCAUCUCCGGGGGUAGAGCACUGUUUCGGCAAGGGGGUCAUCCCGACUUACCAACCCGAUGCAAACUGCGAAUACCGGAGAAUGUUAUCACGGGAGACACACGGCGGGUGCUAACGUCCGUCGUGAAGAGGGAAACAACCCAGACCGCCAGCUAAGGUCCCAAAGUCAUGGUUAAGUGGGAAACGAUGUGGGAAGGCCCAGACAGCCAGGAUGUUGGCUUAGAAGCAGCCAUCAUUUAAAGAAAGCGUAAUAGCUCACUGGUCGAGUCGGCCUGCGCGGAAGAUGUAACGGGGCUAAACCAUGCACCGAAGCUGCGGCAGCGACACUAUGUGUUGUUGGGUAGGGGAGCGUUCUGUAAGCCUGUGAAGGUGUACUGUGAGGUAUGCUGGAGGUAUCAGAAGUGCGAAUGCUGACAUAAGUAACGAUAAAGCGGGUGAAAAGCCCGCUCGCCGGAAGACCAAGGGUUCCUGUCCAACGUUAAUCGGGGCAGGGUGAGUCGACCCCUAAGGCGAGGCCGAAAGGCGUAGUCGAUGGGAAACAGGUUAAUAUUCCUGUACUUGGUGUUACUGCGAAGGGGGGACGGAGAAGGCUAUGUUGGCCGGGCGACGGUUGUCCCGGUUUAAGCGUGUAGGCUGGUUUUCCAGGCAAAUCCGGAAAAUCAAGGCUGAGGCGUGAUGACGAGGCACUACGGUGCUGAAGCAACAAAUGCCCUGCUUCCAGGAAAAGCCUCUAAGCAUCAGGUAACAUCAAAUCGUACCCCAAACCGACACAGGUGGUCAGGUAGAGAAUACCAAGGCGCUUGAGAGAACUCGGGUGAAGGAACUAGGCAAAAUGGUGCCGUAACUUCGGGAGAAGGCACGCUGAUAUGUAGGUGAAGUCCCUCGCGGAUGGAGCUGAAAUCAGUCGAAGAUACCAGCUGGCUGCAACUGUUUAUUAAAAACACAGCACUGUGCAAACACGAAAGUGGACGUAUACGGUGUGACGCCUGCCCGGUGCCGGAAGGUUAAUUGAUGGGGUCAGCGCAAGCGAAGCUCUUGAUCGAAGCCCCGGUAAACGGCGGCCGUAACUAUAACGGUCCUAAGGUAGCGAAAUUCCUUGUCGGGUAAGUUCCGACCUGCACGAAUGGCGUAAUGAUGGCCAGGCUGUCUCCACCCGAGACUCAGUGAAAUUGAACUCGCUGUGAAGAUGCAGUGUACCCGCGGCAAGACGGAAAGACCCCGUGAACCUUUACUAUAGCUUGACACUGAACAUUGAGCCUUGAUGUGUAGGAUAGGUGGGAGGCUUAGAAGUGUGGACGCCAGUCUGCAUGGAGCCGACCUUGAAAUACCACCCUUUAAUGUUUGAUGUUCUAACGUUGACCCGUAAUCCGGGUUGCGGACAGUGUCUGGUGGGUAGUUUGACUGGGGCGGUCUCCUCCUAAAGAGUAACGGAGGAGCACGAAGGUUGGCUAAUCCUGGUCGGACAUCAGGAGGUUAGUGCAAUGGCAUAAGCCAGCUUGACUGCGAGCGUGACGGCGCGAGCAGGUGCGAAAGCAGGUCAUAGUGAUCCGGUGGUUCUGAAUGGAAGGGCCAUCGCUCAACGGAUAAAAGGUACUCCGGGGAUAACAGGCUGAUACCGCCCAAGAGUUCAUAUCGACGGCGGUGUUUGGCACCUCGAUGUCGGCUCAUCACAUCCUGGGGCUGAAGUAGGUCCCAAGGGUAUGGCUGUUCGCCAUUUAAAGUGGUACGCGAGCUGGGUUUAGAACGUCGUGAGACAGUUCGGUCCCUAUCUGCCGUGGGCGCUGGAGAACUGAGGGGGGCUGCUCCUAGUACGAGAGGACCGGAGUGGACGCAUCACUGGUGUUCGGGUUGUCAUGCCAAUGGCACUGCCCGGUAGCUAAAUGCGGAAGAGAUAAGUGCUGAAAGCAUCUAAGCACGAAACUUGCCCCGAGAUGAGUUCUCCCUGACCCUUUAAGGGUCCUGAAGGAACGUUGAAGACGACGACGUUGAUAGGCCGGGUGUGUAAGCGCAGCGAUGCGUUGAGCUAACCGGUACUAAUGAACCGUGAGGCUUAACCUU
rnacentral:rRNA from 1 species